GUGGGGAAUUGUUCGCAAUGGGCGCAAGCCUGACGACGCAACGCCGCGUGGAGGAUGAAGGUCUUCGGAUUGUAAACUCCUGUUGAUCGGGACGAAUGGCCUUUGGGUUAAUACCCCAGAGGAGUGACGGUACCGGUUGAGGAAGCCCCGGCUAACUCUGUGCCAGCAGCCGCGGUAAUACAGAGGGGGCAAGCGUUGUUCGGAAUUACUGGGCGUAAAGGGCGCGUAGGCGGCCAUCUAAGUCGGACGUGAAAUCCCUCGGCUCAACCGAGGAACUGCGUCCGAUACUGAAUGGCUUGAGUUCGGGAGAGGGAUGUGGAAUUCCAGGUGUAGCGGUGAAAUGCGUAGAUAUCUGGAGGAACAUCUGUGGCGAAGGCGGCAUCCUGGACCGACACUGACGCUGAGGCGCGAAAGCCAGGGGAGCAAACGGGAUUAGAAACCCGAGUAGUCC
rnacentral:rRNA from 1 species